CUUACAUGCCCAGGUCGCUGUAGGUGUUGAAGAACUCCAUCUGGUUGCACGCCUGGAUCCAGCCCACGACCCAGAAAUAGAGACUGUAAAGCAGUAAGGAGCCCUGGAGACCACAUAAUUUUACAGGCUAAAUGUGGGGAAAAUAUGAGAAAAAAGAGGAGUAAGUUGGAGUCAAACUCUGUAAGUUUUGCUCUGACUCAGUGGACUUGGGCCCUGUCUUUGCAUCGUCAUGAGUUUCACACAGAUGGCCAGACUUCCAAGCCCUUUGUGUGCCCUUUCUGACUUCAGCAUUUGCCCAGCUCCUGGUCCCGUGCUCUGGACCCCAUGUGAAGAAUUUUGACUUUGAUUCUUUUUACAUCCUCACUUGAUUUCUGGCACUGGCUUGUCUUGGUUUCACGGUCUGUCAAAUUGGCAAACACUGCCAAGAGAUUAACCGAAAUGCAAUAAAUAAAGUUGGGUGAAAGAUGAAGACAAAGAAUCUGGUUUGCGAGUCUUUUCUGGUUAUUUGUUAGCUUGGAGGUCAAAUCUACCCACUAAGAAGAGAAAAAGUCUUGAUGUAAAUUGAAUCCUGCUGCUUUGUUACUAAAACUGCACUGGCCAGCUUUCUGUUCCUGUGACAAAAUGUCUGAGGUAUCCCUCUUCAAGAUGCCUACCCUCCAGAAUGCUAAAGCAAGUGAUAUAUGUUAUCAUCUUUCAAUAUAUGUUGCAAUGAGUUUUUUACCGACAAAUGUCCUAGGAGACUAUGUCUCCAGUCCUGCUCUGGCCUCUCUGGAAGUUUAUGAGCACUUUAGAGUUGUUCAGUAGUGAAUGAGAUGUGACAAUGUGGAACUUUUUCUUUCUGAGUCCUGUGCUCCCUGGAAGUUGUAACAAUUAAGAAAUCCCUUGCACUCUUUCAUGUCCAGGAAGGAGCUAAUCACAAACAGUCAUGCUGCCCUUACCUGUCCUGAGACAGACCUAUGUCUGUCGUUCCUCAUGACUCCUUUAAGACUGAAGGAUGACUCCUUUAUUUAUUUGUACAGUAUUAUGGUUUAGAUCUAAAAUAACUUUGAAAAGACUCCUUGUUCAGAGUUUGGGCUUUGGAAAAUGAUUCGGUCAUGGCGUGCACUAUUGCUGCUAGGGGGUGGUCCUUGUUGGAAGAGGUGGGUCACUGGAGGCUUGACCAGGAAGGGUCUAUCUCCCUCCCUGGCUCCUCCUUCUUUCUCUCU